GACGAACGCUGGCGGCGUGCCUAAUACAUGCAAGUAGAACGCUGAAGGAGGAGCUUGCUCUUUCCGGAUGAGUUGCGAACGGGUGAGUAACGCGUAGGUAACCUGCCUGGUAGCGGGGGAUAACUAUUGGAAACGAUAGCUAAUACCGCAUAAGAGUAGAUAUCGCAUGAUAGCUGCUUGAAAGGUGCAAUUGCGCCACUACCAGAUGGACCUGCGUUGUAUUAGCUAGUUGGUGAGGUAGCGGCUCACCAAGGCAACGAUACAUAGCCGACCUGAGAGGGUGAUCGGCCACACUGGGACUGAGACACGGCCCAGACUCCUACGGGAGGCAGCAGUAGGGAAUCUUCGGCAAUGGACGGAAGUCUGACCGAGCAACGCCGCGUGAGUGAAGAAGGUUUUCGGAUCGUAAAGCUCUGUUGUAAGAGAAGAACGAGUGUGAGAGUGGAAAGUUCACACUGUGACGGUAUCUUACCAGAAAGGGACGGCUAACUACGUGCCAGCAGCCGCGGUAAUACGUAGGUCCCGAGCGUUGUCCGGAUUUAUUGGGCGUAAAGCGAGCGCAGGCGGUUAGAUAAGUCUGAAGUUAAAGGCUGUGGCUUAACCAUAGUACGCUUUGGGAACUGUUUAACUUGAGUGCAAGAGGGGAGAGUGGAAUUCCAUGUGUAGCGGUGAAAUGCGUAGAUAUAUGGAGGAACACCGGUGGCGAAAGCGGCUCUCUGGCUUGUAACUGACGCUGAGGCUCGAAAGCGUGGGGAGCAAACAGG
rnacentral:rRNA from 1 species